GUGUGUGUGUUUUUGAAAGUGUUACAAUCAUUUUCAUUCAGUUUUCCACCAGGCCAGAUGCUCAGAGAUAACAGGAUCCAGAAUCCUGAAGCAGCCUGAUUUCCUCGUUACCUGAAACAGGUCCUGACACAUCUGGUGGAGUCUGAUGGAGCUGAAGGUGUGGGUGGACGGAGCACUCCGGGUGGUGUGUGGGCUUUCCCAGAAUACUUCCUGUCAGGAUGUUGUCAUAUCUCUGGCCCAGGCCAUCGGUCAGACGGGUCGGUAUGUUCUGAUCAUGAAGGUCAGAGGAACAGAGCGGCCCUUGGUUGCUGAUGAGUGUCCUCUUCAGCAGCUGGUUCAGUUGGGUCAACUGGCUUCAGAAGUUCAGUUCAUCCUACGGAGGAACGGUUCUGUCCUCCGCAAUGGUCCACGCAAACCCAUCAAAGAGAAACAUCCUCCUAAACUGGGACCAUCAGAAGCAAUCAAUCACAAAGGGUCUCAAAAAACUCUCAGCUUCUCAACUCUUCCAAGGAGGACUAAAAGACGAAAGAACUCGUCUUCAUCACUGGUGGAUACUGCAGACACUUUUGUGUCUCCUGUGACUCCUACAGACCGGUCUCGCUCUGUAGAUGCUCUUCCCUCUGGUCCCCCAAAGGAGGAGACCUUUAGGGAGAUUCUGCAGCAGCAUAGGAGGCUUCAUGAGCUGAAGGAUCAGAUUAAAGCUCUGGAGAAGGAGACUGAGCUCUGGGAGCAGAAGAUAACAUAUGCUUCAGUUCCUGAUCCAAUCCCAAACCUUACACAGGAACUGGAGGAACUGGAGUUCCGACUGAAGCAGAACAAGGUAGAACUGAUGUAUGGAGAAAACUGGGAGAAAGAGAUGAAGGUUGAACUGGAACGAGAACAAGAGAUGCAGAGACGCCUCCGGGAGAUCCACUUAUCUAUAGAGCAGCAGAGCUCUGAGAUCCAGGUGCAUCAGACCAGUUCUGCAGAUCUGGAGAAGGAGUUAGAAGCUAUGGCCCAGACAGCGGGUCCUGAGCCAGAGAGCCGGUCCACAGAUGAGGCCCUGAGGUCACUGACCCAGGAGCUGCACAAACGUCUGCAGCUGGGAGAAGAAAUGGAUGCAGCUUUAGCAAAGACGCAAUGGAAGCUGCAGACUGCAGAAGAAAGGGUAAAGGUAUCACCCUGCAGCUAAGGCUCCAAGUAAAGGAGCAGUGACACAAAUCAUCUGGAACAGCAGCUUUUCACAACAAUCAAAUUAAUAGCUUCACUUUUGAUUAAUUAAAAAAGGCAAUUAAACAAUAAAAUACCUUUUUACAUUUCAGUUACUAAAACUGAUGUCAGUAAAAAAAAGAGUGAUCUGAACGUGUAUCUGAUUGAUUCUUGGCUGUUUCCUGCUCUUCUAGCAGCUGACAUCUGAGUAGUUUUAGCUUGUUAUGAUUCAAAAACAGGUAAAAAUGUUUGACUUAAUGUAAAAGGAAGAAGAAGAAGAAGAAGAAAUGUGAGAAGCUGAUAAGAGAACCUGCUAUCGGGAAACUAAAUAACUGAGAUCAGCUGUGAAGUAAAACUGAAACAACUGGCUUAAGAAAAUAAAACAGGGAGUAAACAGAAAACCACAUAACUAAAUAAAAACUAACUUCUGAUGAGACUAAUUUUAGUUUGACAUCCUAAAACUUUUGUCCAGCAGCAGCAAACUAAUCAAGGUUAACUGGUUUAUUCUAUAGAAUUUAUUGAAACUUUCAUUUAAAUUGACGUAAAAAGCCUCACUAAACUAAACAAUAUAAAACAAAUUUGAAAGAUAGUCAAAUAAUAUUUACUUCAUUGAUGUUACCUAAUGAUAAUGGAUUUUUGUUUACAUAAUUUAUAAUCUACAUUACGAUAUAACCAUUAUUCCUUUAAAUGUUUUAAAAAUAUUCAGAAAAAUCUUGGUUUAGAAAUAUAAUCAACAUAUUUUUUCUUGACUUUCAGCAACGGUUAGUUCUGAUGCUCCGGUGCAUAAAAGAAAAACAAAGAUCCUCAAUAAAGGCAAGUUGGAGGUGAUCGAGAACCUGAACAAGGAGCUGAGGCAGUGUGACCUGCAGCAGUUCAUCCGGCAGACGGGCGCCCCU